ACUCGGAGGAAGGUGGGGACGACGUCAAGUCAUCAUGCCCCUUAUGUCUUGGGCUGCACACGUGCUACAAUGGCCGGUACAAUGAGCUGCGAUACCGCGAGGUGGAGCGAAUCUCAAAAAGCCGGUCUCAGUUCGGAUUGGGGUCUGCAACUCGACCCCAUGAAGUCGGAGUCGCUAGUAAUCGCAGAUCAGCAUUGCUGCGGUGAAUACGUUCCCGGGCCUUGUACACACCGCCCGUCACGUCACGAAAGUCGGUAACACCCGAAGCCGGUGGCCCAACCCCUUGUGGGAGGGAGCUGUCGAAGGUGGGACUGGCGAUUGGGACGAAGUCGUAACAAGGUAGCCGUACCGGAAGGUGCGGCUGGAUCACCUCCUUUCUA
rnacentral:rRNA from 1 species